GGGAGCCCUCACAGCCACAGAGUAGCAGAGCUCUGUUCGAACCUACGUCUGUCGCACUCCAAAUUCUGAACCCUUUCUCCAAACACGCCUCUGCCCCUGUGUCUACAACACCCAUUCAGGCAAAGCACAGUAUGCUGCGAAUCUGCUUUACUGGGAGCCAGUGGUCGUUUAGGUCUCUGUUCCCUCACCUGCAAAAUUAAGUUGACUCUAAGGUCAACUUUGGUCACCUCCUAGUUCACAUUGUCUAACAGUAGCCCGUACUCCCCAAUCUGGUAUCCUUUGUCUCCUGAAAGGACCCAGCAGUCCAAGGUCCAAGGGAGGAAUUCAGAAGCAACACUGUUUAAUCUAGAAAAAUACGUUAAAUUGCUGGGCUGAGACUGACAGUCAAAGGUCCCAAAGCAAAAACAACUGAGAGUCCCAUGAUACUGGCCUAGCUGCUUUUCUAAUAUUUGCCUUACUCAGCGGACACAGCAGAAAGAAAGAAGAAGGGAACUUGGUUAUUGUGAAAACCUGAUUGUAAACACAGAGGAGAGGAUAGUGUCAGCAUCUUGUAAGUAUUACUGGUGAUCAGGGACUGGUUCAGAAUCUUGGCAAGGGUUUGGUCCUUUGUAUUUCCAGAUGAAUUUUAUAAUUAGCUUGUCAAUUUCUACAAGAUGCCUGCUGGUAUUUUUAUUGGGAUUGGAAUUAAAAACUGCUGGACUUGGAGCACAAUGGUCAAGGCCACACAUGACACGUCACUCUACCACAAAGUCAUCCACUAAAUCUCUACUAGAGGCAGAAAACUUCUCUCAACAUG
rnacentral:lncRNA from 1 species